UACGGAGGGAGCUAGCGUUGUUCGGAAUUACUGGGCGUAAAGCGCACGUAGGCGGUUCCGCAAGUCAGAUGUGAAAUCCCCGGGCUUAACCUGGGAACUGCAUUUGAAACUAUGGAGCUAGAGUGUGUCAGAGGGGGGUAGAAUUCCACGUGUAGCAGUGAAAUGCGUAGAGAUGUGGAGGAAUACCGAUGGCGAAGGCAGCCCCCUGGGAUGACACUGACGCUCAUGCACGAAAGCGUGGGGAGCAAACAGG
rnacentral:rRNA from 1 species